GUCUGGGGCGUCUCCACCAUGGCUUGGGCUCUGCUCCUUGUCACCCUCCUCACUCAGGACACAGGAUCCUGGGCCCAGUCUGGCCCGACUCAGCCUCCCUCAGUGUCCAGGAAUCUAGGACAGACGGUCACCAUCUCUUGUGCUGGAACCAGCAGUUAUGUCGACUGGUACCAACAGCUCCCAGGCAUGGCCCCCAAAACCCUGAUUUAUAAUAACAAUUAUCGGCCUUCAGGGAUCCCUGAUCGCUUCUCUGGCUCCAAGUCUGGCAACACGGCCUCCCUGACCAUCUCUGGGCUCCAGGCUGAGGACGAGGCUGAUUAUUACUGUAGCUCGGGUACAAGUAGUAACAGUUUGCACAGUGGUCCAAGUUCAUGGGGAAGUGAGACCAAAAUGUCCCUGAGUCCACAGUCUCCCUAUUGGUCUGGAGAUGCUUCUCCUCCCUGA